rnacentral:tRNA from 1 species
GCAGUGGUGGCUCAGUGGUACAAUUCUCACCUUCCAUGUGGGAGACCUGGGUUGGAUUCACAGCCGAUGCA